rnacentral:rRNA from 1 species
UACGGAGGGUGCAAACGUUGCUCGGAAUUAUUGGGCGUAAAGCGCACGUAGGCGGACCAUCAAGUUGGAUGUGAAAUCCCUCGGCUUAACCGAGGACGUGCAUUCAAAACUGAUGGCCUUGAGUACGAAAGAGGAUCGCGGAAUUCCCGGUGUAGAGGUGAAAUUCGUAGAUAUUCGGAAGAACACCAGUGGCGAAGGCGGCUCACUGGACUGGUAUUGACGCUGAGGUGCGAAAGCGUGGGGAGCAAACAGG